UACGGAGGGUGCGAGCGUUGUCCGGAAUCACUGGGCGUAAAGGGCGCGUAGGUGGCCUGUGGAAGUCUGCGGUGAAAGCCCGGCGCUCAACGCCGGGUCGGCCGUGGAUACUCUCGGGCUUGAGCUUACUAGAGGCAGAUGGAAUUCCGGGUGUAGCGGUGGAAUGCGUAGAGAUCCGGAAGAACACCAAUGGCGAAGGCAGCUCGCUGGAACGGUACUGACGCUGAGGCGCGAAAGCGUGGGGAGCGAACAGG
rnacentral:rRNA from 1 species